GUUAUUUUGCCCUAUAUAGGACGGUGAUGGCGAACCUAUGGCACGUGUUCCACAGGUGGCAUGCCAGGCCCUCUCUGUGGGCACGCGGCCAUAGGUCGCUGGGGGAGGGAGCCGCUAGCGCCAGUUGCCAGCAAUGCAGACUAGGCACCCGCCUGUCCAAAAUAGCAGGCGCCUACUCUGCUUUCAUAUCGGUUGGGUGGGUGGGAUGGAGGGCUGCGAGGGAG